CAGCAGCCGCGGUAAUACGAAGGGUGCAAGCGUUAAUCGGAAUUACUGGGCGUAAAGCGUGCGUAGGCGGUGAGUUAAGUCUGCUGUGAAAUCCCCGGGCUCAACCUGGGAAUGGCAGUGGAUACUGGCUCGCUAGAGUGUGUCAGAGGAUGGUGGGAUUCCCGGUGUAGCGGUGAAAUGCGUAGAGAUCGGGAGGAACAUCAGUGGCGAAGGCGGCCAUCUGGGACAACACUGACGCUGAGGCACGAAAGCGUGGGGAGCAAACAGGAUUAGAUACCCCCGUAGUCCCUGUCUCUUAUAC
rnacentral:rRNA from 1 species